AGCAGCCGCGGUAAUUCCAGCUCCAAUAGCGUAUAUUAAAGUUGUUGCAGUUAAAAAGCUUGUAGUUGAAUUUCGGGGUCAGUAGAUUGGUCAUGCCUCCGGUAUGUACUGGUCUUACUGGCUCCUCCUUCCUGAUGAACCGUAAUGCCAUUAAUUUGGUGUUGCAGGGAAACAGGACUGUUACUUUGAAAAAAUUAGAGUGUUUAAAGCAGGCAAUCGCUUGAAUACAUUAGCAUGGAAUAAUGAAAUAGGACGUUUGAUCCUAUUUUGUUGGUUUCUAGGAUUGACGUAAUGAUUAAUAGGGAUAGUUGGGGGCAUUAGUAUUCAAUUGUCAGAGGUGAAAUUCUUGGAUUUAUUGAAGACUAACUACUGCGAAAGCAUUUGCCAAGGAUGUUUUCAUUAAUCAAGAACGAAAGUUAGGGGAUCGAAGACGAUCAGAUACCGUCGUAGUCUUAACCAUAAACUAUGCCGACUAGGGAUCGGAUGAUGUUAAUUUUUAAUGACUCAUUCGGCGCCUUAA
rnacentral:rRNA from 1 species